rnacentral:misc_RNA from 1 species
UCUCCGUAGGUGAACCUGCGGAAGGAUCAUUAUUGUAUAACCGAGGUGCGAGGGCUGUCGCUGACCCGAAAGGUCGUGCACGCCCGAGUGCCCUCACACACAUCCAUCUCACCCCUAUGUGCACCACCGCGCGGGUCCCCCUUUGGCUUGUUCGGAGGGGGGCUUACGUUUUCACACAAACUUUGUAUGCAGUGUAGAAUGUAUUUUUUGUUUUUGCGAUCACGCAAUCAAUACAACUUUCAACAACGGAUCUCUUGGCUCUC